rnacentral:rRNA from 1 species
GACGAACGCUGGCGGCGUGCUUAACACAUGCAAGUCGAACGGUAAGGCCCUUCGGGGUACACGAGUGGCGAACGGGUGAGUAACACGUGGGUGAUCUGCCCUGCACUUCGGGAUAAGCCUGGGAAACUGGGUCUAAUACCGGAUAGGACCACUGCCUGCAUGGGUGGUGGUGGAAAGCUUUUGCGGUGUGGGAUGGGCCCGCGGCCUAUCAGCUUGUUGGUGGGGUGGUGGCCUACCAAGGCGACGACGGGGAGCCGGGCUGAGAGGGUGACCGGCCACACUGGGACUGAGAUACGGCCCAGACUCCUACGGGAGGCAGCAGUGGGGAAUAUUGCACAAUGGGCGCAAGCCUGAUGCAGCGACGCCGCGUGAGGGAUGACGGCCUUCGGGUUGUAAACCUCUUUCAGCACCGACGAAGCGCAAGUGACGGUAGGUGCAGAAGAAGGACCGGCCAACUACGUGCCAGCCGCCGCCGUAA